rnacentral:rRNA from 1 species
CAUGUGGAUUAAUUCGAUGCAACGCGAAGAACCUUACCUAGGCUUGACAUAUACAGGACGACGGCAGAGAUGUCGUUUCCCUUGUGGCUUGUAUACAGGUGGUGCAUGGUUGUCGUCAGCUCGUGUCGUGAGAUGUUGGGUUAAGUCCCGCAACGAGCGCAACCCCUGUCUCAUGUUGCCAGCACGUAAUGGUGGGGACUCGUGAGAGACUGCCGGGGUCGAACUCGGAGGAAGGUGGGGAUGACGUCAAAUCAUCAUGCCCCUUAUGUCUAGGGCUUCACACAUGCUACAAUGGCUAGUACAGAGGGCUGCGAUACCGCGAGGUGGAGCGAAUCCCUUAAAGCUGGUCUCAGUUCGGAUUGGGGUCUGCAACUCGACCCCAUGAAGUCGGAGUCGCUAGUAAUCGCAGAUCAGCAACGCUGCGGUGAAUACGUUCCCGGGCCUU